CAUGCCUGUUCGCUAAAUAUUCCGGAUAAUCAAUGGGCACAGAGAAACGCUGUCAAUCCUGACCAAAUGAAAUUUUGAGGUAUCAGCAAGGUUCAAAAAAAUCAAUGUAAAAACUUCCUAAAAUCAAUGUAAAUACAAAUGCUCACUGAGGUGUCUCAGGACCAGGUCGAUGAGGCGGGGGAGUCUGACACUGUUUUGUACAGUGCAAUCACAGCGCUGGGGAUGGCAUCGAUAAUGUCUCAAACCCCAACCGAGGAUGGGGAGGUCUACUCGCAAAUCACCAGUGGAACAUUGGAGUGCGACCAACAUCUACGUAGCCACCCGUCUUUCACCCGCCCGUGUGCAUUGUUGGAAAUGAGAAGGUAACGGAGCACCAUCUUCUCAUCUGAAAGCCGUGGAUAAAGGUCUCAGCAGGAUCAUUGACAACGGAACGGGGCCAGAGUCGAUAGAAAUCCUGUGUUUAUCACCAUAGCAGUUGCUUCUCCAUGACGCAGUGUAUGGGGGAAGACCAUACACCAGGCUUCCUGAUUGGAGGAAGAGUGAAUAAAUUGA